UGUUUUCAUACCUUGGGUUAAUAACAUAUAUUAUUAAAAUUAAUUUCUCUGGUUUCAUUUUACUUUUUUCUGAUUUCGCUAUUGGAACAUUUAAAGUCACACAGGAGGCUCACAUUUUAUUUCUAUGGAUCCAUAUCAGCCUUGUCCAGGACAGAGAGCAUCCCACCAUCCCUAAACCGAUAGAAGAUGGUCCAAAAAAAAAUGCUGCGAUAAACAUUAUUUUGUGGCUGGGCAUGGUGGCUCAAGCCUGUAAUCCCAGCACUUUGGGAGGCCGAGGCGGGUGGAUCAUGACGUCAGGAGAUCAAGACCACCCUGGCUAACAUGGUGAAACCCCGUCUCUACUAAAAAAACAAAAAUACAAAAAAUUAGCUGGGCACCGUGGCGGGUGCUGGGUGUAGUCUCAGCUACUUGGGAGGCUGAGACAGGAGAAUGGCAUCAAAAAGAGCUUGAAGUGAGCAGAGAUCGCGCCGCUGCACUCUAGCAUGGGCGACAGAGCAAAACUGUGUCUCAAAGAAAAACAAAACAAAACAUUAUUUUGCUUACAUCUUUUUGAACAUGCGUGAAUGUUAUUUUAGAAUUUCUAGAAGUGAAAUGGUGGACUAGGGGUUAGUCCUGUUUUUAUUUUGAUAAAUAUUGCCAAAUUUUCCUCCAAAAGAAUUUUAACAAUUUAUAUCUGACUGAUGGUACAGUCAGAAAAGGGGUACUGAUGCCCCUUUUCCCACAUCCCCCCGCCCAACAUUUUGUCAGCCUUUUGUUUUCCUAUUCAAAUGGGUAGUCAAGGCCAUUGGUGUUUAAGUACCUAUUUCCCAGGCUUCGAAGAGAGAAACUAAGGGAAUCUGCCUUUUAUAUUGGAUA
rnacentral:lncRNA from 1 species